rnacentral:rRNA from 1 species
UACGGAGGGAGCUAGCGUUGUUCGGAAUUACUGGGCGUAAAGCGCACGUAGGCGGCGAUUCAAGUCAGAGGUGAAAGCCCGGGGCUCAACCCCGGAACUGCCUUUGAAACUAGAUUGCUAGAAUCCUGGAGAGGUGAGUGGAACUGCGAGUGUAGAGGUGAAAUUCGUAGAUAUUCGCAAGAACACCAGUGGCGAAGGCGGCUCACUGGCCCGGUACUGACGCUGAGGUGCGAAAGCGUGGGGAGCAAACAGG